rnacentral:rRNA from 1 species
CAAUAGCGUAUAUUUAAGUUGUUGCAGUUAAAAAGCUCGUAGUUGGAUUUCGGUUGAGAACGGCCGGUCCGCCGUUUGGUGUGCACUGGCUGGUUUCAACUUCCUGUAGAGGACGCGCUCUGGCUUCACGGCUGGACGCGGAGUCUACGUGGUUACUUUGAAAAAAUUAGAGUGUUCAAAGCGGGCUUACGCUUGAAUAUUUCAGCAUGGAAUAACACUAUAGGACUCCCGUCCUAUUUCGUUGGUCUCGGGACGGGAGUAAUGAUUAAGAGGAACAGUUGGGGGCAUUCGUAUUUCAUUGUCAGAGGUGAAAUUCUUGGAUUUAUGAAAGACGAACUUCUGCGAAAGCAUUUGCCAAGGAUGUUUUCAUUAA